rnacentral:rRNA from 1 species
UUCCGGUUGAUCCCGCCGGACCUGACUGCUAUCGGAUUGAUACUAAGCCAUGCGAGUCAUUGUAGCAAUACAAGGCAGACGGCUCAGUAACGCGUAGUCAACCUAACCUAUGGACGAGAAUAACCUCGGGAAACUGAGAAUAAUGCUCGAUAGAACACUAUACCUGGAAUGGUUUGUGUUCCAAAUGAUUUAUCGCCGUAGGAUGGGACUGCGGCCUAUCAGUUUGUUGGUGAGGUAAUGGCCCACCAAGACUAUUACAGGUACGGGCUCUGAGAGGAGUAGCCCGGAGAUGGGUACUGAGACACGGACCCAGGCCCUAUGGGGCGCAGCAGGCGAGAAAACUUUGCAAUGUGCGAAAGCACGACAAGGUUAAUCCGAGUGAUUUGUGCUAAACGAAUCUUUUGUUAGUCCUAGAAACACUAACGAAUAAGGGGUGGGCAAGUUCUGGUGUCAGCCGCCGCGGUAAAACCAGCACCUCAAGUGGUCAGGAUGAUUAUUGGGCCUAAAGCAUCCGUAGCCGGCUCUGUAAGUUUUCGGUUAAAUCUGUAUGCUCAACAUACAGGCUGCCGGGAAUACUGCAGAGCUAGGGAGUGGGAGAGGUAGACGGUACUCGGUAGGAAGGGGUAAAAUCCUUUGAUCUAUUGAUGACCACCUGUGGCGAAGGCGGUCUACCAGAACACGUCCGACGGUGAGGGAUGAAAGCUGGGGGGAGCAAACCGGAUUAGAUACCCGGGUAGUCCCAGCUGUAAACUAUGCAAACUCAGUGAUGCAUUGGCUUGUGGCCAAUGCAGUGCUGCAGGGAAGCCGUUAAGUUUGCCGCCUGGGAAGUACGUACGCAAGUAUGAAACUUAAAGGAAUUGGC